UACAAGGAAUUGACGGGGCCCGCACAGCGGUGGAGCAUGUGGUUUAAUUCGACGCAACGCGAAGAACCUUACCAGGGCUUGACAUCCCCUGACCGCGUAUGAAAGUACGUUUUCACCCUCGGGUGACAGGGAGACAGGUGGUGCAUGGUUGUCGUCAGCUCGUGUCGUGAGAUGUUGGGUUAGGUCCCGCAACGAGCGCAACCCCUACGUUUAGUUGCUAACGCGUGAAGGCGAGCACUCUAGACGAACUGCCGUUGGCAAAACGGAGGAAGGUGGGGAUGACGUCAAAUCAUCAUGCCCCUUAUGUUCUGGACUACACACGUGCUACAAUGGCCGGUACAGACGGACGCAAAGCCGCGAGGUGGAGCAAAUCCUAAAAAGCCGGUCUCAGUUCGGAUUGCAGGCUGCAAUUCGCCUGCAUGAAGUCGGAAUCGCUAGUAAUCGCAGGUCAGCAUACUGCGGUGAAUACGUUCCCGGGCCUU
rnacentral:rRNA from 1 species